GACGUAGGGCGCGAGCGUUGUCCGGAUUUAUUGGGCGUAAAGAGCGCGCAGGCGGUCGAGUAAGUCGAAUGUGAAAGCCCCCGGCUUAACUGGGGAGGGUCAUUCGAUACUGUUCGACUUGAAGGCAGGAGAGGGCAGCAGAAUUCCCGGUGUAGUGGUGAAAUGCGUAGAUAUCGGGAGGAAUACCAGUGGCGAAGGCGGCUGCCUGGCCUGUUCUUGACGCUGAGGCGCGAAAGCUGGGGGAGCAAACGGG
rnacentral:rRNA from 1 species